rnacentral:pre_miRNA from 1 species
AGGACUGUCUAACCUGAGAAUGAUGUUUCCAGAGGCACUCUCAGGCUCGUCAGCCCGGGA